rnacentral:rRNA from 1 species
UACAGAGGUCUCAAGCGUUGUUCGGAUUCAUUGGGCGUAAAGGGCGCGUAGGCGGCGGGGUAAGUCGGGUGUGAAAUCUCAGAGCUCAACUCUGAAACUGCACUCGAUACUGCUCUGCUUGAGGACUGGAGAGGAGACUGGAAUUUACGGUGUAGCGGUGAAAUGCGUAGAUAUCAGGAAGAACACCAAUGGCGAAGGCAGCUCUCUGGGACGGUACUGACACUGAGACGCGAAAGCGUGGGGAGCGAACAGG